GUGCCAGCCGCCGCGGUAAUACGUAGGGUGCAAGCGUUGUUCGGAAUCACUGGGCGUAAAGAGAGCGUAGGCGGGAUUGUAAGUUAGGAGUUUAAUGCAUGGGCUUAACCCAUGAUCUGCUUUUAAUACUGCAGUUCUUGAGUAUGGGAGAGGGUGAUGGAAUUCCAGGUGUAGCGGUGGAAUGCGUAGAUAUCUGGAAGAACACCAGUAGCGAAGGCGGUCACCUGGCCCAAUACUGACGCUGAGGCUCGAAAGCUAGGGGAGCAAACAGGAUUAGAUACCCCUGUAGUCC
rnacentral:rRNA from 1 species